GAUGAACGCUGGCGGCGUGCCUAAUACAUGCAAGUCGAGCGAACAGACGAGGAGCUUGCUCCUCUGACGUUAGCGGCGGACGGGUGAGUAACACGUGGAUAACCUACCUAUAAGACUGGGAUAACUUCGGGAAACCGGAGCUAAUACCGGAUAAUAUAUUGAACCGCAUGGUUCAAUAGUGAAAGACGGUUUUGCUGUCACUUAUAGAUGGAUCCGCGCUGCAUUAGCUAGUUGGUAAGGUAACGGCUUACCAAGGCAACGAUGCAUAGCCGACCUGAGAGGGUGAUCGGCCACACUGGAACUGAGACACGGUCCAGACUCCUACGGGAGGCAGCAGUAGGGAAUCUUCCGCAAUGGGCGAAAGCCUGACGGAGCAACGCCGCGUGAGUGAUGAAGGUCUUCGGAUCGUAAAACUCUGUUAUUAGGGAAGAACAAAUGUGUAAGUAACUAUGCACGUCUUGACGGUACCUAAUCAGAAAGCCACGGCUAACUACGUG
rnacentral:rRNA from 1 species